rnacentral:rRNA from 1 species
UAGGGAAUCUUCCACAAUGGACGAAAGUCUGAUGGAGCAACGCCGCGUGAGUGAAGAAGGUCUUCGGAUCGUAAAGCUCUGUUGUUGGUGAAGAAGGAUAGAGGCAGUAACUGGUCUUUAUUUGACGGUAAUCAACCAGAAAGCCACGGCUAACUACGUGCCAG